GGAGCUGCGGAAGAAGCUCGGCCCCGUCAGCCCAAGCGCCGCUUUACCCAGGGAAGGAGUCCUGGAGUCAGGCAGGGGUCUCUGUGUCCCCAACCCUCCCCACCCCAUCCCGAAGACCCUGACUCACAGGGAUCCAGCCACUGUAAGUCGUCCUGGCUCUCCUCUACCUGGCUGCUGCC